GUGGGGAAUCUUGCGCAAUGGGCGAAAGCCUGACGCAGCCAUGCCGCGUGGAUGAUGAAGGUCUUAGGAUUGUAAAAUUCUUUCACCGGGGACGAUAAUGACGGUACCCGGAGAAGAAGCUCCGGCUAACUUCGUGCCAGCAGCCGCGGUAAUACGAAGGGGGCUAGCGUUGCUCGGAAUUACUGGGCGUAAAGGGCGCGUAGGCGGACAGCUUCGUCAGCGGUGAAAGCCCAGGGCUCAACCUUGGAAUUGCCUUUGAUACUGGCUGUCUUGAGUUUGGGAGAGGUGAGUGGAACUCCGAGUGUAGAGGUGAAAUUCGUAGAUAUUCGGAAGAACACCAGUGGCGAAGGCGACUCACUGGCCCGUUACUGACGCUGAGGCGCGAAAGCGUGGGGAGCAAACAGGAUUAGAUACCCCGGUAGUCC
rnacentral:rRNA from 1 species